UUGGUGUUCGGGGGGGGGGCGGCUUAACAUACGAGUCGGCGGGACUCUUCGGAGUUCAGUGGCGGACGGGUGAGUAACGCGUGAGUAAUCUGGCUUCAGGUCGGGGACAACCACUGGAAACGGUGGCUAAUACCGGAUGUGCCGAAAGGUAAAAGGCUUGCUGCCUGAAGAUGAGCUCGCGUCUGAUUAGCUAGUAGGUGGGGUAAGAGCCUACCUAGGCGACGAUCAGUAGCUGGUCUGAGAGGACGAUCAGCCACACUGGGACUGAGACACGGCCCAGACUCCUACGGGAGGCAGCAGUGGGGAAUUUUCCGCAAUGGGCGAAAGCCUGACGGAGCAAUACCGCGUGAGGGAGGAAGGCUCUUGGGAGAUGAGCCUCUUUUCUCAAGGAAGAACACAAUGACGGUACUUGAGGAAUCAGCAUCGGCUAACUCCGUGCCAGCAGCCGCG
rnacentral:rRNA from 1 species